UUGUUAAUAAUUUAUUAAUUUAUAAUUUUUAAUUUUUAUUUUAUUGUUACCAAAAAAUGGCAAAUACUGUAAAUGAUCAUUUACAGUAUUUGUUGUUACUUUGUAUAAUUUGUGUAUAUAACUGCAUCAUGAUGAAGCUGAAAUUCAAAUUGCGACCUAACUACUUACUUAUACUAAUAUAUUAUAUAAAUUGUAAGGAAAACUAUAUUAAUAUAUAAAGAUAUGUUUUAUAGUAAACCAAGAUGUGAUGUGAAAAAACCAUGGACGCAACUCGAAAUGAAUACAAAGAUCAUUUAUGGAUAAAAUUUAAAUUUGCGCGAUGUAGAUAUUUACUUAGUAGAAGUAAUAUAGUCCAUUGUCAACAUAAAUAACUAGAAGGAAUAGCAGACAACCAUUUUGAUUGGAAUAAAUUAUUGUCUUAUUUGUCAAUAGAUUUAUUUAACUUAAUAACUAUUAUUGUUGCUGCAUUUAUUGUUGUUUUAUGCAAUUCAAGUACUCCAAUCAACUUUCAUGUUAUAAACACUAUAUUCAAGUUAGCUAAAAAUGAAGUAUGGUACUUCAAGAAUAAUUUGAUUUUAAAAAAUUUACCAACCCAUCAUCUAAAAUAUUAAUUCUUUACAUAAUGCUGAUUUUAUCGUUAUUGGUAUAUGUAUAAGCUGUCAAAAGUUGGAAAGAAUAUUGUCAUAAAUAUGAAAUAGUAUCUUUUCGUCUGCACUUCAACAGGAGCUGGGCUUUUUCGAUAAAACAUGCGCAGGUUAAAAAUUGAUGUACACAAUUUUGAGGAUACAAAUGCCAAUUCAAAUGACAAAAAACUGUUCGUGUGUAUAUCUCAUGAUGAACACUAUUGUGUAUUGUAAGAUAUUCAGUGACUAAAAACAACGCAUCUGCAUGUUGCAUGGUGUGUGACAAUUCAGAAAGUGAACUUGGGCAUUUGUUAACUGAAUAAAUACAUUAGACAGAUUUCUAAAACACUGAUUAGUGAAGAAAUUAAGAUUCUACAUCAUUUCUUUUACCAGAAAUUGAAUUUAAAGGUUGGAGACCAUAACACCUUACUGAAAAAGAAAUGUUUUUAUUGGAAUCUAAGAAACCAACAGACUUCAAAAAAAGCAAGUGCUGCAUAAAUUAUGAUAGAAGGCAAAGAUAAAUUAAAAAGAUACUUCGUUUGUUUAAGUAAUAUUGUUAAUUAAUAAUGAUUAUUCUAAGUAUUUUAGUAAAUUUAGUUUUAAUUAAUUUAUAUUUGUUUGUAAGUGUUAUAACUUAUAAACUUUAAAUAUUUACAAUUUCAAGUUAUAGCAUAGUAAUAUAGAAUAGUUGAUAAAGAUUUUUUUCUAUCAGAGGCGAUUUGAGUAUACAAUUUGACUCGGCCCCGCGUAACAUCCAUUUGAAUUUAAACAGCAUUUACACAGAAAGCCGCUAAUUACUUUCCUUACCAACCGUAAAUGACGACGGACGACACCGACGCACGAUAACCGCACGCGGACCGAUUGAACCGCCGACACCGUGAACCGGACCUAGGCUUUUUAGUCUUGUGAUCCGCUCCUUUACGCACACACCACAUUGUUUUUUUUCCCCUGUUCCCCGCCGACAUCACUUUUUUUUUUCACACAUUAUUUCUGAUUUUGUCAUUGUUUUUUUUUUUGUUAAAUUGUUGGUGCGUUAUUAUUUAUGGUGGUUGGUAUUUUGUUAGAGAUUUGCUGACGGAAAUUUAUAAUUUGUUUUGUAAUUUAUAAUGUAUACUAAUCUACCAUUUUGCAACCCUGUAGUCAGUCAUAAGAAUUUUAAGCGGAAAUAAUAAAACUGUAGUGAUUCAGUCAAAGAUCGUAUCACAAUAUAAUAAAAGAACAUAAAAUGAAAUUAGGCCCUAAAAUACUUAUUGAAAAAACAAUUAAAUCAAAUGUAGUGCAAGUAAUAACAGCAGUGGUACUAAUAUUCAAUUCACUAGAAAAUUUUAUUUAAAUUCGAAUUAUAACCCACUCACUUUAUUCAAAUUCAAUAAAAAUUUUUAAAAUAUUUAUGCAUGUGGAGUUGAGUUGUCUACCAGAAAGCAUGUCAGUUCCUGACACAACUAAGGUGUUGGGUGGGAACUAAGCGUCAUUAUUGUUUUGAUGUGCGAGUGUACUGUUUGUUGAUUGUUUAAGUUUGUAUUUUGUUAUUUAUACAUCAAUAAAGAGUUAAUCCGUUAAUA